GAUGAACGCUGGCGGCGUGCCUAAUACAUGCCAGUCGAGCGAACGGACGAGAAGCUUGCUUCUCUGAUGUUAGCGGCGGACGGGUGAGUAACACGUGGAUAACCUACCUAUAAGACUGGGAUAACUUCGGGAAACCGGAGCUAAUACCGGAUGAUAUUUUGAACCGCAUGGUUCAAAAGUGAAAGACGGUCUUGCUGUCACUUAUAGAUGGAUCCGCGCUGCAUUAGCUAGUUGGUAAGGUAACGGCUUACCAAGGCAACGAUGCAUAGCCGACCCGAGAGGGUGAUCGGCCACACUGGAACUGAGACACGGUCCAGACUCCUACGGGAGGCAUCAGUAGGGAAUCUUACGCAAUGGGCGAAAGCCUGACGGAGCAACGCCGCGUGAGUGAUGAAGGUCUUCGGAUCGUAAAACUCUGUUAUUAGGGAAGAACAUAUGUGUAAGUAACUGUGCACAUCUUGACGGUACCUAAUCAGAAAGCCACGGCUAACUACGUG
rnacentral:rRNA from 1 species